rnacentral:rRNA from 1 species
GAUUGCAGGCUGCAACUCGCCUGCAUGAAGUUGGAAUUGCUAGUAAUCGCGAAUCAGAAUGUCGCGGUGAAUACGUUCCCGGGCCUUGUACACACCGCCCGUCACACCAUGGGAGCCGGUAAUACCCGAAGUCAGUAGUCCAACCUCGUGAGGACGCUGCCGAAGGUAGGAUUGGCGACUGGGGUGAAGUCGUAACAAGGUAUC